rnacentral:rRNA from 1 species
GACGAACGCUGGCGGCGUGCCUAAUACAUGCAAGUAGAACGCACAGUUUAUACCGUAGCUUGCUACACCAUAAACUGUGAGUUGCGAACGGGUGAGUAACGCGUAGGUAACCUGCCUGGUAGCGGGGGAUAACUAUUGGAAACGAUAGCUAAUACCGCAUAAUAUUAAUUAUUGCAUGAUAAUUGAUUGAAAGAUGCAAUUGCAUCACUACCAGAUGGACCUGCGUUGUAUUAGCUAGUAGGUGAGGUAACGGCUCACCUAGGCGACGAUACAUAGCCGACCUGAGAGGGUGAUCGGCCACACUGGGACUGAGACACGGCCCAGACUCCUACGGGAGGCAGCAGUAGGGAAUCUUCGGCAAUGGACGAAAGUCUGACCGAGCAACGCCGCGUGAGUGAAGAAGGUUUUCGGAUCGUAAAGCUCUGUUGCAAGAGAAGAACGGGUGUGAGAGUGGAAAGUUCACACUGUGACGGUAUCUUACCAGAAAGGGACGGCUAACUACGUG